GCCAAGCCACAGCGCCGCCUCCGUCCGACCUCCGCCGCUCCGCUGCUGCACCUCCGUCCGACGUUCGUCCAGCCGCCGAAGUUUCGCGCCGGUACUUGAUAUGGACAGACUAGUGGACUCUUUAAAUAAUGCAUAUCAGGAGUUUGUUGCGGGAGCAGCUAAUGUCCUUGAAGCAAAUGAAGCCUCUGGGGCUCAGAAGACAGCAGCAACAGAUGCUGCUCUUGAGAAUUUUAAACAGAAAUGGGAGCUAUUCAGGGUUGCUUGUG
rnacentral:misc_RNA from 1 species